rnacentral:rRNA from 1 species
UACGUAGGGUGCAAGCGUUUAAUCGGAAUUACUGGGCGUAAAGCGUGCGCAGGCGGUUUUGUAAGUCUGUCGUGAAAUCCCCGGGCUCAACCUGGGAAUUGCGAUGGAGACUGCAAGGCUAGAAUCUGGCAGAGGGGGGGUAGAAUUCCACGUGUAGCAGUGAAAUGCGUAGAGAUGUGGAGGAACACCGAUGGCGAAGGCAGCCCCCCUGGGCCUGCACUGACGCUCAUGCACGAAAGGCGUGGGGAGCAAACGAGGAUUAGAGUACCC